UACGUAGGGUGCAAGCGUUUAUCCGGAAUUAUUGGGCGUAAAGAGCUCGUAGGCGGUUUGUCACGUCUGCUGUGAAAACUGGAGGCUCAACCUCCAGCCUGCAGUGGGUACGGGCAGACUAGAGUGCGGUAGGGGAGAUUGGAAUUCCUGGUGUAGCGGUGGAAUGCGCAGAUAUCAGGAGGAACACCGGGUGGCGAAGGCGGGUCUCUGGGCAGUAACUGACGCUGAGGAGCGAAAGCGUGGGGAGCGAACAGG
rnacentral:rRNA from 1 species